UUCAUGCAAGAGGGAGUUGCUGAAAGUUCAUGUAUUUGAAGAUUCAUGGAUCAUAUUUAUGGGGGAAAAUACAUGGGACGUUUCAUGCAUGAUUCAUGCAUUUUCAAGAUGACCAUUCAAGUAUUUUAGGCACAUUAAUGCCUCAUUCAGCCAAGAGAGAUGUAGGAUCAUUAAAGAGCUGCACAUUCAUGGAAUUAUGGAGAUUCUUCAAGGCUAAGGAUGCAUGAAUGCAUCAAGUGAAGCAUCAUGAUGGUUCGGCCAAUUCAUGUACCAUCUUCAAGCAUGAACUGGAUUUUAAUGCUAUUUGUGUGAAC
rnacentral:lncRNA from 1 species